rnacentral:lncRNA from 1 species
AAGAUUAGAAGUUGAAAAAGUGGGGAAGACUGAUGGUAGACAGUACUGUUUAUACUUACCAACUGAGGUGGAAAGAAGAUAGGGAACAUGGUGCAGUAGUGGAGCAAGUAGGAGGUUCUGAGCUAUGCAGAGCCAGUGUUUGGAAGGAGAGUCGCUUAGGAAUAGGUGCAAAGAGAGGACCCUGAGGUUACUAGUACAGCAGAUGGACAUGGACAGCUUUGCCUCAUUUUAGAAGUCCUAACCUUAAAGCGUAGCUAUACAUGGAAAGAAGGGCUAGAAAAUUGAACUAAGAACAUUUAUUCCAAUAUUAAGAUUUAUGAUGUCACAAAGUGUGUAUAUUCAGGUAUUGGUGCAUAGGUAUGAAUACUUAUGACUGUACAUGGGUAAUCAGGGCGAUAUUGAGUGUCUUCCAGUAUUUCCCACUUAGUUUUGAUAGUCUCUCAACAUGAAUCAUCUGUAGCUUACCUUGUUAGGCCUGCAAACUCUUGGGUCCACUGGCUCUGUUCCUUCAAUAAUGGGCUAUAGGUUGGAAACGUUUGCAUUUUGCAUGUGAAAGAUGGAGUAAGGUAAUUUCUUGCAUGGGAGAAUGGUGGGAGGUCUGAGGAGAUUUUUUUAAAUGUAUGGAAUUAUCCUUGGUGUAGCUAUUUAGAGCAUGUUUUGGUAUUUAUGGUCAUGUAUUUGAAAGCUACAGCUGUCGAACAGGAGUACUUGUGGCUCCUGAGAAACACUUGUCACUAUUUGGAGAUACCCUUAGCUCUUAGUGAAUAUAGAUAUUGGGCAACAGUUGUGGUAGAUCAGUCAUUCUCUCCCAGAGAUACUUUUGCCCUAAGGGGACAUUUGUGGGACAUUUUUUGAUUACCACAUGGUUUUAUGAGCAUAUGCAGUUUUACUGAUUUCUAGUGGGUUGAGAAUCAGGAUACUGUUAAAUAUGCCACUGUGUGAAGUAGCCCUCAGUAACAAAAUAAUUACGUAGCCAGGUGAUGCCAAGAUUGAGCAACACCAGAUAAGCAAUCAUUUUCAAAUUAAGCAUUUAUAUUGGGGUAAAAGACAAGAAAUCCUACUGUGGAAUGAUGAGUAGGUUAAGACCAGGUAUAUUGCAGUGGUGAAGAGUAUAGGCCCAUAUUAGGGCGUGAUCUCUAGAAACCAGCAGAUUUACAGAAGGGGAUGUGGGAAAACAAACUUAGCCAGUACCAACAUUUUUCCUGCAGGUGACAUGGUGCACAUAUUGCUCCCUUCUUUCUCCCUCCUGUAUUGUGAUGGUGGUAUGCCAGGAAGACUGCUUUUAAAAUGACAUUUGGCAACAUUCUUGACACAAAUGGGCUAAAAAUAGGCCUUAUUCUACUUAGACCUUUGAGAUCCAUUGAGAAGUUGGAGGCCUUUACUUCCCUGAUGCUGUGAUAAAACAUCAAGGCCAAGGCAGCUUACACAGAGGGGUUCAUUUGGGCUUAUGGUUCUAGAGAAUUAAGAGUUCAUCAUGGCAAGGGAAGUAUGUUAGCACAAGCUGGAGCAAGAUGCUGAGGGCUCACAUCUUGGAUUGAAAGUAAAAAGCAGAGAAAGCAUAGUGGGACUGUUAUGGGACUUUUAGACCUCUAAGCCUACCCUCAGUGCCAUACUUCCUCUUGUAAAAGCAUAGCUCUUAAGCCUGUCCAAACAGCUCUGUCAGCUACAGAACAAGUAUUCAAAUAGCUAAGCCUGUUGGGGACAUUCUCAUUCAAACUACCACUACUGUUUGUGUCAAAGGAAUAAAGCCACUUUUUACUCCUCUUUUCUCUUCCUCCUGACCAGUUUGAGGUAAUUUGGAUUUGAUGAUUUAAGGAAAAUGAUUCCUUUUCUUGGACAUGAAAGCUUGGUAUAAGGCUAUCUCAGUCUACAUAGUGAAUUCCAGGUAUGAAGACUACAUAAUGAAACUCUCUCUCUCAAAAAAGAGCUUGUUUUUUUGUUUUGUUUUGGUUUGUUUUGUUUUGUUUGUUUUUGUUUUUCGAGACAGGGUUACUCUGUGUAGCCCUGGCUGUCCUGAAACUCGCUCUGUAGACCAGGCUGGCCUCGAACUCAGAAAUCUACCUGCCUCUGCCUCCCAAGUGCUGGGAUUAAAGGCAUGCGCCAUCACUGCCUGGCUCAAAAAGAACUUGGUAUUAAACUUUUUACAAUGUAUAAGAUAAUUACAGUGAUAACUAUUAGAUGUUUUCUUCUAACUUACUGAAUCCACUUUCAUGAAACAUUGUACAAAGCAGAAUGUUGAAAAUUCUAUUGAACAUGACAUAUAGUGUAAUAAAAAUAGUAUAGAUUAAAAAGUAGAGCUGGGGAUGUGGUUCAGUUGGUAAAAUGCUUGCCUUUAAAGGUGAGUUUGACUCCCUAACGUUCACUUAAAAGCUGGUUGUAACGUAUGCACCUGUUAUUUGAGCACUGAGUAGGAAGGGAUAGAGAGGUUCAGUGGCCAGCCAGCCUUGCUGAAUCAUAAGCUCUGGGUUCAGUGGGUUCCCCGUCUCAAACAACAAGAACCAGUGUGGAAAGCUGUUGGAGAAAACGCUCGUCACCAACCUUUGGCCUCCACAUAGACACACAUGUGUACACAGACAUGUACGAGUGUACUACUAAAGAAGACACACAUGUGUACACAGACAUGUACGAGUACACUACUAAAGAAGACACACAUGUGUACACAGACAUGUACGAGUACACUACUAAAGAAGAAAGAGCAGGGCAUGAUUUGGAAGAAAUCUUAUCUGAAAGAAGUAGAACCAAUUUAGUACUUAGUAUAGUUUAGCAUUUUAUACAAGAUAUGUUUGCCUUACUGACUUUGGCCUCUGAUAAGAAACUGUUAACCCCUGUGUACUUAUAUCCUCACUGGGAAGCUGACAGGGACACAAACCAGUGUUGAGAAUAGGUAGGAAUCAGGCCAGGCACUAAAGUUCUAGUUCUAUUAGGGUUUUGAAUGGGAGUGAGCAAUAAGGUAUCUUCUUUUCCUUGGUGAAAAUAUCAUUACUUUUAAGUAUUUGUAUCAUAUAAAUAUUGUCUGUGCAGUUUAGCAGAGGAAGAGGAAGAUUGUAGUUGGAGGGAAGGGGGUCUGCGCAGUCCUGACAGUAUUCUUUGUUUGAGGUUGCUGUGGUGCUCUAGCUUCUAGGUUUGAGCCUGGUUUCCUGACAACACCUUUCACUUUCAGAGAGCCAAGGCAAAUCCUGGGGCAAGAUUUAUGCCAGUGUUUUUUUUUCAUGGCAUUUUGUCUGCAAACUUACUAAGUUGUAACAGUAGCUUGUUCUGUAUGUGGUGUUUACUGGGUUAACUUUUCAGUUCCAUGUCAUGCAUAUAGCCAAACACUCAGUUAAGAGUUGAUAAUAACAUUUUGGUGAGUCAUAGAGGAGAAAAAAGUAUUAUAGUUUGUAUAGUAAUUUUCUUAAGCAGUUAAUUAAUUGAUAACCUUCUUCAGUCUAAUGGUUAAAAGUAGUUUAAAUACUGUCUUCUUUGUAUUUCUAAUAGGAUUUGAUUCAACUUGAAGGACAAAACUUUCAUUAAUUUAAAAAUAAUGGUCUGGAUAUUUACAUAUUUGAAAAACACUGCUGUUAAUUUAAGUUUAGAAUAUGUGCCUCAGAAGUCUUUUAAAAGAACAUUAGCUUAGCUUUUAAUCAAGUGUAAAUAUUAGAACUUAUAUGUAAAAAUAUCUUUUCCCCAUCUUGCUUAUAUAACUUUUUUACUGUGUGAAACCAGGGGGACAGGAGCUAUAAAAAGAGCUGAGUGAACCUUUGUUGUUCAAGUUACCAAUGUGAGAACCAUGUGAACCUGCACCUGUUGGCAUCUAUGAGCAAACCAGCCUUGCUGAGCCCCAGGCCUCUACUUCAGCCUUUUACUGGAACUAAAUGAUGUUGCCAUUUUUAUUUUUAGGUUUGCUGGCAUGGGUAAUCUCAUUAAGGUGCUAACCAGGGACAUAGACCACAAUGCAGCACAUUUUUUCUUGGACUUUGAAAGUAAGUCUCCUUAGCCCUUCACAGCUGGUGCAUAAUGGUAAAGGUGGAAGAUUAAUUAUACUCACACCACAGUGAAGGCCAGCCAGAAUAUUUGUUAAUUAAACAUGGGGAAUCAAACAAAGGUUGCAUGACUUUUUUUUUCCCUUAAUUGUAGGCAAACAUCACCAUCAUAUGUAUAAUUCUUUAGUUUCUCAUUUGCUAAAAUCAUGUUGAGUCUGUAGCCAGUGGUGUCCUUUCAUUAGUCCAUGAAGCAAGUAGCCUUAUGAUGAAUAUUCUAAUAGUAUGCUUUAGUGACUAUGCCUAAGGCUGUCCACUUAUCAUCCUGUAAUAAUCUGCUCUAAGAAAUAAAAUCUGUGCUGCAUAUCUAAAAUGAAUACUUUUAAUAGCUUCCACAAAUUUUCAAAUUAGAUUUGGUGAGAAAUGCCUGCUUUAUUCAUUGGCAUAAAGGAAGUAAUUUUUACAUUUAAAAAUGAGAUGUGAAGGUGAGCUUUGGCCAAACCUUAAUAUUUGGCCCUUAAAUUACUGUUUCAUUGCUAUGCUUGGAAAGUUUCAUGUGAAUAAUUCUUGAUUGGAAUUUUUUUUCAGAAUAUUAGCACUAUUGGAAUACUUAAAGAAUUUUUCAUUAUAAGGCCAUUAGUGAAACUUGUCUUGGGAGAAUUUUGAGAAGAAUUAGAGCAACAGUUGUACCAUUAUGUACAGGAAAACCAUAUUUCACCUCUAGGUCCUACACAUCAACACCCUGAGAACCCGGGUUGCUGUCUGCCAGAGCACAGUCUGGGUAACCUGAAGGAUGAAUUCAUGGCCUAAUGAACAUUCUCCCUGUUACUAUUUUUUCUUUAAGUCAAUUUCAGAUGUUCUUUUUAUAAAGGGAUAUUUUCUCUUUCUCAUUCUUGUCUUGACAGGUACCUUAACAUGGGGAAUCUUCUUAAAGUUUUGACAUGCACAGACCUUGAGCAGGGGCCAAAUUUUUUCCUUGAUUUUGAAAGUGAGAAGAUGAUUUUAUAUCUAUUUCUCUUUGCCUGCAGUAGACUGCGUUUGUCUUGCACUAAUGAAUGUUUCCACUUUGCCAUCUUUUUAACUGCUUUGCAUGACUGAGCUAUGAAUUGUUUGAUUAAAACUUUUGGUGCCUUCUAGAACUGAAUCAUUUUAUAGAGUAAAUUAUAGUAGUAAAGUGUUUCUUUGAAUUUCUAAGAGAUUGUGUCCCUUAAUUGGCAAUCAUUUUAUUAUUUAAGCCCUAUAAUAAUGAAAACACUUAUG